GGUCCCGUAGCUCAGUCGGUUAGAGCGUCACACUAAUAGGCGGUAGCAGCAGUUACCAACUUGCCAUGUGAAGGUCGCGAGUUCGACCCUCGUCGGGACCA